CUCCAUUGUGAACCACGUCCAGAAGGUCGUGAUGAGACAUCUCUCCCGUGAGCCAAAGAUCAGCCGAACAGCCUUUGAGAACCGAAGUCCCAGAGCCCGCACAACUUGCCACACUGGAUAUGGAACAAUCUGGAAUGAAAAGAUCCAUUGGGUAGAUCCAUCAGGUUUAAAAAAAAACAAUGCCAGAAGAUGGAUUGGAAACCUUAUCGAGUAAGAAUGAAACACCUGGAUGUUUGGAAGCAAGUUUCAUUUACUUUGGCUUUUAUUCUGUUUCACGAAGAAAAUAAUAUGACUUGAAUGUGGUCUAAUAAAAAGGAUCUGUUUUUUCGA